CAUGAACUGAAUCGUAUGGAUGUCACCGUUGUAGGAGACGAAAGAUACCUAAGAAGGUUACGUAAGCCGAGAUGGAUUCCGAUAUACAAAGCAUGAUCUUGUUCUGGCAUGAGAGCUUAACUGCCAUGAAUGAGUGAUUAGAUGAUUCGGGUGACGAGAGUUGGCUAAUCUUACAUGUGUCUAUCCUAAUUUCAGAUUCAUAGAAAAUCC
rnacentral:lncRNA from 1 species